UUGUUGAUCCACUUGGAGAAACAAAUGAAAAGAUCAAGACCUGUUUAGAGUCUACAAGGUAAAUUUGAUUAUAACCUGUACUUGUGACCAGUGACUUGUUAAAAGAUUUUUACACAUGUAUCAAUACUUUAGAGUAUUCAUGAGGAAGAAAGGCUGCAGUGUUUCAAGGUGGAUGUGCAGCACUCUCCCACAUUCAACUCAGCAAGAUGGUACAUCCUGUGGUGUCCUGGCCUUAAAAUUUGCACAGAAAAUUUUACAGGGAGACGAAAUAGAUCUGGACACCUCACAGACGGCCAUGGACAGGUUAAGGCUCGACAUAGCCACUUCCCUCGUCAGAGAAUCUGAUGAUCUGAGCAGUCUGUGCUUUUAUUGUGGGAUGGAGGACCAUGACGAAGCACUAUGCGUAAGUUAUUCACAUUA